rnacentral:lncRNA from 1 species
AGAGGAAUGAGAAAGAAAGAGGUAAAACUUAGUUGCUUCUUGAAAAACGAGUGAAAACAACAAUCGUUGAAGUUUGCAAAUAGAUGAAGAAUGACAUGAGGAACAAGCAAGAAUUUAAAAGAAAUUUGGGCAGCACGUCGGUAGGAAAUAGAGGCAAAACUUGAUAAGAUGGAAUAUCUUGAAAAGAAGACACAACAUUACGGUUAAAUGGAAAAACUAGGGAAGAACAUGACCUUGAUAAAACAAGAUAAUGAAUGAAAGAGAGGAACAUCACAAAGCCUUCAGAAUAAAACAAUAAAAAC